GACGAACGCUGGCGGCGUGCCUAAUACAUGCAAGUAGAACGCUGAAGAGAGGAGCUUGCUCUUCUUGGAUGAGUUGCGAACGGGUGAGUAACGCGUAGGUAACCUGCCUUGUAGCGGGGGAUAACUAUUGGAAACGAUAGCUAAUACCGCAUAACAAUGGAUGACACAUGUCAUUUAUUUGAAAGGGGCAAUUGCUCCACUACAAGAUGGACCUGCGUUGUAUUAGCUAGUAGGUGAGGUAAUGGCUCACCUAGGCGACGAUACAUAGCUGACCUGAGAGGGUGAUCGGCCACACUGGGACUGAGACACGGCCCAGACUCCUACGGGAGGCAGCAGUAGGGAAUCUUCGGCAAUGGGGGCAACCCUGACCGAGCAACGCCGCGUGAGUGAAGAAGGUUUUCGGAUCGUAAAGCUCUGUUGUAAGUCAAGAACGGGUGUGAGAGUGGAAAGUUCACACUGUGACGGUAGCUUACCAGAAAGGGACGGCUAACUACGUG
rnacentral:rRNA from 1 species